GCCCAGAUACCAAUCUUGGCAAAAACAAAAGCAUCAAACUGGGUAAGAGGGGAAAAAAAUCCAACACAAGAAGUGUGUGGUCUUUUCUAAUGGGAUGAUCUUCGGCACGUUCCCCAGUGCAGAGCAGUGUGGUAAAAGUGAUGGCCCACAGACAUACAGCAGUGUUUGUUUAUGGGUAUCUGGCUCCCUUAAGGAGGGGCAUGUUCCCUCCCACUUUCCCCUUAUGUCUUUCUUCCCUUUUUAAUUUCCCAUCGAGGAAGGUCUCUCUUAUAGUUGUCUUUCUGGUGUCUGCAGUUAUGCCCUUAAACAAAUAUGUUCCAUGAGACUUGAAAGGCAAUUUUUGGAAUAUAAACCUGUUUGGGACUCUGGAGCAAUUCCAGUGAGUUAAGAUGAAAUGCUCUGCAUUCGGCUCGGGGUCUUCAAAUAACUCAUUGUACUCCUUGCCAAGCAGGGGCUAUUUCAUACGCGCUGUGCCAGGCUGCAUUCCCAGCUGGCUGCCUAACUCAUGUGCCCACCUGGUUUGGCUGCAGGGUCCCCCACGGCGCCGUGCCCACCUGGCUGCCGCGUGCCCCCGCGGGCGCUGCUUCAUGCAUGGGUGCGCGAUAGCUGCUGUCAGGGAAAGCACUUCAGGCCCUCUCGGGAUGAAAGGUGCUAAAUGCAUGCGAGUAAUUUAUUGCUUCGUUCCGAGUCUGCAGUAUGGGCUGAGCUGGGACACGCACGACCUGUUCUGACUUUUCCGAAGCAGGUUUGAGUAUGCGCAACCCCUUCUGCCAGAGCUGCCGCACUGCCUUUUGUUUCUAAAUAUACCUCUUGCACAGCUGAUAAGGGAGACAGGAAGCGAUAGAUCUUGGAGCUUUCAGGAGACAGCCUCUCCCUGAAGAUGUACUUCAGUGAACUGAGCGUACAGCAAACAAUAUGCGAGCGGGCGAGGUUUCAAGCUGGGGCACGCCAGCGUGAGCGCUACCAUCAAAGAGAUUGUCGCUUCCUUCGCAUAAUGCUUUCAGGAAUGACUUCCCAGACUCCAGGACCAUGUGCAGAGUAACAAAGCAGACAGAUCUGGUGGCGAGAUGUACGGAAGUUUCCUGAGAUACCUCUGGAUGAUAAGAAGAACAUGGGUGAAGCGGUACCAAUUAAUUCAUUAAUAAGACCUACAGAACAUUGAGGCUCUUGAGACCUCUUGCAGAUGUUAAAUAAACGAGCAGGGUAUUUUUGUAGUUAGGCCCUGGGCUGCUUCUGCUGAGGUGCCACAUGGGGAAGGGUUUGAAGCAGGAGCGUGUGAAUCUCGGUGUGGAAGCCAAUGGCCAUGCAGGGUCAUAGGCUGAGCUCACAGGAAAAUAUAUCUCAAAAGUA